rnacentral:rRNA from 1 species
UACGAAGGGGGCUAGCGUUGUUCGGAAUCACUGGGCGUAAAGCGCACGUAGGCGGAUUUUAAGUCAGGGGUGAAAUCCCGAGGCUCAACCUCGGAACUGCCUUUGAUACUGGAGAUCUUGAGUCCGGAAGAGGUAAGUGGAACUGCGAGUGUAGAGGUGAAAUUCGUAGAUAUUCGCAAGAACACCAGUGGCGAAGGCGGCUUACUGGUCCGGAACUGACGCUGAGGUGCGAAAGCGUGGGGAGCAACAGG